GCCAGGAAGAGGAAGAAGAGAGGGCCUAAGAGCAGUGGGAAUGGGAACAUGGAGGAAAGCCCUAAAAUUGUUUCCCCCUCCAGCAAUGGAGGUGGAAAUAUGGUUUGGUUUUUCCCGAUGCCUCCCAUUCCUAUCGUUCUUAAGCGCUCCUUCCUCUUCCUUUGGCUU
rnacentral:pre_miRNA from 1 species